CUACGGGCGGCCGCAGCUAAGAAUCUUCCGCAAUGGGCGAAAGCCUGACGGAGCGACGCCGCGUGGGUGAUGAAGGCCGAGAGGUUGUAAAGCCCUUUUCUGCUUGAGGAAUAAGCAUCGGAGGGAAUGCCGGUGUGAUGACGGUAGGGCAGGAAUAAGCCCCGGCUAAUUACGUGCCAGCAGCCGCGGUAACACGUAUGGGGCGAGCGUUGUUCGGAAUCAUUGGGCGUAAAGGGCGUGUAGGCGGAAAUGCAAGUCUGGUGUGAAAGACCGCAGCUUAACUGCGGGACCGCGCUGGAAACUGCAUAUCUCGAGUUCCGGAGGGGGAGUUGGAAUUCCUGGUGUAGGGGUGAAAUCUGUUGAUAUCAGGAAGAACAUCGGUGGCGAAGGCGAACUCCUGGACGAGAACUGACGCUGAGGCGCGAAAGCGUGGGGAGCGAACAGGAUUAGAUACCCUUGUAGUC
rnacentral:rRNA from 1 species